rnacentral:tRNA from 1 species
GCCCCCGUAGUUUAGCUGGAUAGAAUUUCUCCUUGCGGAGGAGAAGACCGAGGUUCAAAUCCUCGUGGGGGCA